UAGGGAAUCUUCGGCAAUGGACGGAAGUCUGACCGAGCAACGCCGCGUGAGUGAAGAAGGUUUUCGGAUCGUAAAGCUCUGUUGUUAGAGAAGAACGUUGGUAGGAGUGGAAAAUCUACCAAGUGACGGUAACUAACCAGAAAGGGACGGCCAACUACGUGCCAGCAGCCGCGGUAAUACGUAGGUCCCGAGCGUUGUCCGGAUUUAUUGGGCGUAAAGCGAGCGCAGGCGGUUCCUUAAGUCUGAAGUUAAAGGCAGUGGCUUAACCAUUGUACGCUUUGGAAACUGGAGGACUUGAGUGCAGAAGGGGAUGGUGGAAUUCCAUAUGUAGCGGUGAAAUGCGUAGAUAUAUGUAGGAACACCGGUGGCGAAAGCGGCUCUCUGGUCUGUAACUGACGCUGAGGCUCGAAAGCGUGGGGAGCAAACAGG
rnacentral:rRNA from 1 species